GACUUAGUGGUACAGUGGUUAAGUGCUCAGCUGCUAACUGAAAGGAUGGUGGUUCGAAUCCACUCAGUGGCU
rnacentral:tRNA from 1 species